ACUCCGCAGGCUCCACCUAAACCCUAACCCAGCAAUCGCUCGCUGUAUAACUGCCCCUCCACAGAGAUCAUAUCAUCGCCGCCGAAGAGAAGCCCUUCCAGCCUCCAGCGUACUGCCCCAUCACGAUCUCUCCCAUCUUUGCACGGCAAGAUCUAUUGUAGUAUUCGUUUUGAUCUAUUUUUGCACCUUUUGCAUCUGUCGAUGGCAGUGACGAUUUGCAAAUAUUCAAGCUCAACAGACCAAAUCACAGGUCUUCUCUUUGUUUUGAGUUGAUUUGUAUGCCGAUUAUCCCGCUGAACCGAGCCAUCUGUCACCUGUUUUUCUCCUCCGGAUCUGUGUCCUUGCUUCCUUUCUUUCUGUAAUUUUGUUUGGAGGACGAUGUUACGAUGAGGAUAACAAGCUCCCUCUUCUGAAAGCAUUGAUGACAAUCGCCGGCAGAAUCGAACCUAAUAAACAUUGCCACCACUGAGUAACUAUGUCGCGUCCUCAAAUCUUUUUUAUUUUUGGCUCUUGAUUGUUCGUUUGCCUUUACCCACUUCAUAUCUACCAGAUCUAUUUGGAUAGUGAGGAGGUAAUCAUGCAUAUCCAACACUUGAUCCGAGGUUGGCUUGAGCCGGCCGUAUGAUGUCAUCUUUGCAUCUGAAUCCAUAUGAGAUCAGUGAUUUUUAUGUUUGCUGUUUUCGCUUUUGCUUGAUUUCUUCGGUAUCAGAGGACGAAAUCUCGAAAUAAUCUUAGGACACCUUCUGACACAGUGCCUAUUUUCCUGUGAAUGAGAAGGCAUUUAUAUUCUGAUGAUACCGGGCUUUUCCAAAUCUUCUUUUUGUCGUUUUAAUAAUUUUAUUUGUAUCAGCAGUUUAAAGCCCAUGAUGAUUAGCUUUAUGUUGGAAUUACCGUCAGAUUCCAAAUGACGAUAUUUUUGCGGCUUUCUGAGGCAUAAUAAACUGAAUACUACUAUCAAUUUUACUGUCUUGAUCAACAAUUUGAAUUUUGUUGAAAAUUGUUCCAUCUUACAAUAUCCUGGUGAGGAGCUCGGACCAUAGGAAGUGCCGUAUGACACUGUAAACAACAGCUGCUUCUCUCCACUGCAACUGUCCUGCCUUCGAUCAUUACCUUUGUGGUUUGGUCAGGUCCGGAGUCUCCAUUUGCAGCUGGAUAGAUUCAGAUGUGUGCGUGAUUUUAAGCGGGUCACUGAGGGAUUCUGUCUUGGUUCCUUGGAUGUCUGAGGCGUAAUCCAUGAAGCAAACUUCCGAUGCUAUUCAUACCAUCCGCUGUUAGAGUGUCUUCUGGAUUGCAGCUGGACAAGGCAACAUGGGCGAGCUUCUUAAGCUCUACCUACCGAAGCACGGGCCAUGUGUCACAGGCUUCAUGAGAUUGGGCUAUAAGAGCAUCCCCACUCGUUGGCGCUCCCCACACCCAAAUCCGGACGAAACAACUGCCGGAUUGGACGAAAUUAAGUCGUGGGGAGUACCGUAUUUGCAGUCGUCCACCCGGAGUUCGGCGGACAUAGUUUAAAUUCAAACAAAGCGCCGUCCUGCGCUACAAGUACGGCCAGUUGAUCGGCAAAAGGAGCAAAAGGAUCAGCUAUAGAUCGGCGAUCGGAGGGAAAUUACACGGAAACAGGCUCGUCGGCAGUCCCGGCCGGCACGGCGGUGUCCGACGGACCAGUUUCCUCACACGCCGUGGCAUAAGCGGCUGCGGCAGCCGACGAGGAAGCAGCGGCAGUGGACGUCGAAGCAGCCGCAGUCGACGAGGUAGAUGGUGAGGAAGCCGAGGUAGGAGCCGGCGGAGACGACGAAGGAGUGGCCGGAGUGGCUCGGAGGAUGUCGCUGCGGUGGCCCUGGUACCAAUUCCUUGUCUCCUCGUCCAUCAGUUCCAUGUCGCCGCCGCCAAUCAGGAACGCCAAGUAUGUGUUCCUCUUCUUCGCCGCCGCCGUCGUCUUCAGCAGGGCGAUCCGGACGCCUUGGUUGGCGAGCAUCUCCCGCCACCUGCUGUCGAACUUGUCGUUCCUCCCGUCGGCGUGCGACCUCAAGUCGGCCCAGCACUUGUCGAUCGACGCCUGCAUCCUGUCGGCGGGAUUGUCCGUCCGUUUGAGCUCUUUGAGCUUCUUCUGGCCGAGUUCAGGGCGCCCUUUCGCCGCGCAAGCCGCCGGAGCGUCGGGGUUGUACUGCUCGGUCUUGCUCUUCGAGAGGGUCGUGCGAGUUUCCUUCCACUUCUCGUAGUUCUCGAGGCGGGCGUAGACGUUGAGGAACUUGAACUGCAGGCCGGUGUAGUCCAUGUACAUGUCCAAAGCUCGGCGCAGCUGGGGAAAAAAGAGCACGGCGAUACGGGUCAGCUAACGACGAUAUACCUCGGUGAUGCAGGGUCGAUGGAGCAUACCUCGGUCAGCUAACGACGAUAUACCUCGUGGCCGCUGAUCGGCCUUUUUUCGACCUCCUCCUGUAUGCCGUGCCAUUUGUUGCACGCCGUCUGCAUGAUCCCCCAAUAGGUGGCCAUUGCUUUGUCUCCCCGGUACACGUUCAUGUUCGUCUUGUUGAAGUAGGGAUCGACGAGUUUGCGUUCCUCGUACGCCUGCCUCACUCGAAGCCAAUAUGUGUCGAACGACUGAUUGGCCCCGAUUAUUCCGUUCGUGGACACGGUCAUUCAAGUUUCGGCGAGGCACUCCUCUUCCUUCGGCGUCCAUUUGAUACGCGGUUCGGCAGGCGGCGAGUCCUUCCUCUUCUUCUUCCCCUUCGACAGGUUGGCGGCGGCUUGAGUUGGCUCUUCUUCUUCCUCGUCUUCUUCUUCGACGGCUUGGCUUCCGUCGGCAACAUCCUCCCGAUGCUCGUUGCGCGCUGCCGUCGCCCUCGCCUCCUCUUGCAUGAAGAACCCCGGGCACGCAGCAGCGGCGGCCAUGAAGAACCCCGGGCUCGCAGCGGCGGCCAUGGAGCCGGAGGUGAUCAUCUCGUGGAUCUCCUCUUCGUUCGGCGCCGCCAUCGCACAACGGGAGCGGCCCUCGUCGCAGGGCCGGCGAGGUGCCCUCGAACUGGCCGCCACCACAGACGUCAAGCUCGGGCGGCGACGACGUGGACCUGGACGGUUGAACGUAGGCGCCCUCUUGGAACACGGCAGUCGGCGACGGCGAGUACAGCGAAGGGGAGAAGGACGACGGGGAACUGGUUGUACCUUUCGUCUUCUUCGCCCGCGGCUUCCUCGCCGGCGCCUUCGGCGGCAUUGUGGUGGACGAGAAGACGAGGAGGAGAGUGGUGGUGGACGAGAGGACGCCGCCAGGAACUGGAACUGGAAGACGAGGAGAAUGGUCAAAUUCGGCGGGAGAGAAUGGCCAAAUUCGGCGGGAGAGAAUGGGGAUAUGCAAGCAAAUUGGAGGGAAUGGGGAUAUGCAAGCAAAUUGGAGGGAAAAUCGACAGGAUUUGAUUUUCCUGUCGCCGACUACGCGGGUCCACACGACGUUUCGCGCCAAAAUCUUUCGUCCGGAGUCCCUGAGCGCGCCCCGGGGGGCCGGGGAUGGCGUGGGCUCGCCGGAUGGAUGAAGGGCCAAAUCCGGACGAAAACGAGGAACCGGGGGCGCGACUACGCCGUCCGGAUGUAAAAAAAGCUCGCCCGGGGCCUGUUCGGGGGGACGAGUGGAGAUGCUCUAAGAUCGGCAUGUUUGAAAUGAAUUCGCCUGUCACGUAACAUGGUGACAUUGAUGAAGACUUUGAUAUUCCAUGCUUUUUAGCUUAAGGCAAAUUAAGUUUCUGUGUCUAGGUUUCCAAGCUGGAUAAACUGGAAGCUGCUUCAGAGCUUGAAAGGACUCACCUUCAUUUUGUUGCUUCAGUCUCCUGCAAAACAAUGGAAAAAUGUUGCACUGUAUAGGAAACUGAAAUUCUAUGUACUUCGAUUCCUGUGAAAAAACUGAUUACAUCUUUCCAACUGUCGAUGGAAUACACACUCCUUGUUUUUGACCUUCGGCAAAUUUGCAUCACAAAUUCCUUAAAUUUGUAACUGUGGU